GUAAAUAUAGUUUAAUUACAAAACACUAAACUGUGGACUUAGAAACAGGGACCAACUUACCCCUUAUAUACC
rnacentral:tRNA from 1 species